GAUGAACGCUGGCGGCGUGCCUAAUACAUGCAAGUCGAGCGAAUGGAUUAAGAGCUUGCUCUUAUGAAGUUAGCGGCGGACGGGUGAGUAACACGUGGGUAACCUGCCCAUAAGACUAGGAUAACUCCGGGAAACCGGGGCUAAUACCGGAUAACAUUUUGAACCGCAUGGUUCGAAAUUGAAAGGCGGCUUCGACUGUCACUUAUGGAUGGACCCGCGUCGCAUUAGCUAGUUGGUGAGGUAACGGCUCACCAAGGCAACGAUGCGUAGCCGACCGGAGAGGGUGAGCGGCCACACUGGGACUGAGACACGGCCCAGACUCCUACGGGAGGCAGCAGUAGGGAAUCUUCCGCAAUGGACGAAAGUCUGACGGAGCAACGCCGCGUGAGUGAUGAAGGCUUUCGGGUCGUAAAACUCUGUUGUUAGGGAAGAACAAGUGCUAGUUGAAUAAGCUGGCACCUUGACGGUACCUAACCAGAAAGCCACGGCUAACUACGUGCCAGCCGCCGCCGUAA
rnacentral:rRNA from 1 species